AGUGAACGCUGGCGGUAGGCCUAACACAUGCAAGUCGAACGGCAGCACAGUAAGAGCUUGCUCUUACGGGUGGCGAGUGGCGGACGGGUGAGGAAUACAUCGGAAUCUACUUUUUCGUGGGGGAUAACGUAGGGAAACUUACGCUAAUACCGCAUACGACCUACGGGUGAAAGCAGGGGAUCUUCGGACCUUGCGCGAUUGAAUGAGCCGAUGUCGGAUUAGCUAGUUGGCGGGGUAAAGGCCCACCAAGGCGACGAUCCGUAGCUGGUCUGAGAGGAUGAUCAGCCACACUGGAACUGAGACACGGUCCAGACUCCUACGAGAGGCAGCAGUGGGGAAUAUUGGACAAUGGGCGAAAGCCUGAUCCAGCCAUACCGCGUGGGUGAAGAAGGCCCUCGGGUUGUAAAGCCCUUUUGUUGGGAAAGAAGAGCAGCAGGUUAAUACCCCGCUGUUCUGACGGUACCCAAAGAAUAAGCACCGGCUAACUUCGUG
rnacentral:rRNA from 1 species